CGCAUAGGAUAACGGCCUCCAGCUCCAUCCGUGUUGCUGCCAAGGACGUGACGUCGUUCUGUUUCAUGGCUGCGUCGUAUUGCAUGGUGUAUAGGUAUUUUUAUGGUGGGAGAGGCCCAUGAAAAUCGCAGUGCCCUCUGGGGAAAUCUCAUAGAGCCACUGGUUACUUCCCAAGCUCAGGCGCUCGGAAAGGCCCAGGAAAGCUCCUCAAAGGCAUGGCGACGACGAGGUAAAUAACCACAGGGGUGCGGGUGCUUCUGGCUCCUCUGACGUCCUGCACAGUCAUCACAAGCACCAUCAGAUGAGGUGCCCUGGACAGUGUUUCCUUUUCACAGCCCUGGGGGAUGGAAGUCAUGCCUGUGUCUGUACCCAGACCUGGGGGAUGGAAGUUACGCCUGUGCUGUACUCAGCCCGCCCCACGUCAGCACUGCUGCCCAGUACAAGCCCCCGUCAGGGUUUGCAGACCAGGUUCAGUGUGUUCCUUCAUUCCAGCCUGUCUGAGGGAGGCUGUGGCCUGUGGCCAGGACAGGAGGGACCGAGGUGUCCCUGUGAAGAGCAGGUUGUCCAGAGGUCCAGUUAGUGGCCUUGGAGAACACUGACAGCAGCACAGCCUCAGCCUCACUCCCUGGUAUGCAACGUGGUGGCUUCUCUAAGGAGGAUGGGGGAGUUUUCUUAGGCCAAACAUCCAGGGUGCCGUCCUGCAGGUGCCCACUUUGAUACCUCACCUUCACUUUGUGGCUCAAGACAAAUGGCCUGGGGAAAGAUGGUGUUGAAGUGGAGGCAGCAACCACAGGCAGCUGGUCCGUGGGACUCGUCUGUACAGGGAACCGAGACGGGGCUGCAACUGGAGGACCCAUGCCAGGGGACCUCAUUGCAUUUAGUUGUCACGUCUCCCCCGGCUCCUCUGGUCUGUGUCACGUUGUUUUUGAUACCUGCUCGGGGCCAAGACUAGGACCAGAGAGGUGCAUGGAUGACUUACUUUGAGAAAAUGUCGACAGGGUGCUCUGCAGAGAGGCAUGGGCUUUUGUGCCUUUAUCAUGCUUUUCUGAAUUAAAAGAAAAACACAGUCAUGUGAUUUUAGAAACGGAACCCAUGGAAGAGAAAAUACUGGGUCUGUGGAAAGUCAGCUGAGGAAACAGCCAGAAUGCUGGCAAAGAGGGAAAGAUGCCCGGGCUUGGUGGUGGCACCUUGGAGCCUGCUUACGGAGCCAGCUCUAGCUCCAGUGAUGCUGAAAGCGGAAUGCUGGGCAUGCAAGAACCGCGAGCCGUGUCCAGUCCACUUCCUCGUUACACAGGUGGGGAGACUGAGGCUGGGGGAGGGGCUCUCCCCUGCACAGGUGUCACCCAGGGUCCCGCCUGCACCCGAGCCAUACCUCUGUGCCCUCCACCCAGGCCCCACUCAGCUGCCCCCAACUGUAAUCUGGAAAAGAUGAGAGUGGACCAAUUAUUUCUGUACCAUGGUUGCAUGAUUAUCAAGAUCAAAAACGCCCGAGGAACUAUAUUUAGUACAGGACAGAAUUCAAAGACUACCUGGUAACAGGAACGUCUGUCUGCAAGGCCAGGCACCCACACGACCCCUCGCUUUGUCUCUUUCUGUCUUGGAACCCAGGCCGUACUUGAGCUCCCAUCUGCUACCCCACACCCCACUGGCUGUUGCAAGAGUGAUGUUGCCAUUGGUGACCGCAGGUCUCCCAGCAGCCUGGUGCCGAGAGGCCACUUCAGGCUCUAACGGGGGCCCGGGUUUCCACGGGAGACGGCAGAGCCACGGUGUGGCAGGCAUCCAGCUCUCCCCCUGAUCAAUUCUGUGACUUGUCAGAAGACCCCCUACCCGUGGGCCUCGGUUUCCUCAUCUGUGAAACAAUGGGAGUGACCUGGAGGGUCUCCGCCAGUCUCAGUCUAAGCCCUUAAGACAGAGGCAGACACUGUCAGCCUGUGAGCCCCUGGCUUUGCUCUUGCUUCAGGUCAGACAAAGAAAGGACUGGUGGUCUCUGGGCAUCCUGAGCCUGUCUCCAUGGAAACCAGCUCGCCCACCCCCUCUCUGGCAAGUGUCCUAAUGGGUGCCAUGGGAAACUGUGGGCUCCAGCCCCAGGCCGCCAACUGGUUGGCGGCCUUGCAUUUGAGAUCCCUGGCCCAGAGUAAUGGAGGGGACCUCAUCUUAUAGAAUAUACAGCGAGGGUGUGGAGAGGCUGUGGGGGAAGCACAGCCUGGUCAGCAGGCACUGGGUAUCCUGGCUUGAGCUCAGGGCACCUUUGUCCCAGGGCAGGACCCUCACGUCUCGGGCUGCUCCAUCCCCAUUGGGGUCUCCCUUCAUUCUUGAUGAAUGUCCACUCACAGAGGGGGCCCCAUGCCUCUCCAAAGACCCCCACCCUCCAGUCCUUGUGUCCCUGAGGUUGGCCUCCUGGUGGCCACCUCAUGGGGAAGGCCCUGGACACAGGGGCCCCGGCCUAAUGCAGCAUGGCUUCAUCUUAACUAGUUAUGUCUGCAAAGACCCUGUCUCCAAACAAGGUCAUAUUUUGGGCUUCUGAGUAGAAGGUGAUUUGGGGGACACUCAUCAACCCAGCGCAACGCUCCCUCUCACCAUGCUCUUUCAAGAGAAGGCUCUUGGACACCUGGAGGCCACCAGUCCUUUCUCCCUCUGACCUGAAACAAGAGCUAGCAGGGGCUAGCAGGCCGACUGCAUCUGCUGCCUUUUUAGAUACUGGCCCCAGCCGCAAUGCCCAGGACUGAGUCAUGGAGAUUCCCUCAGAAAUGGUGCAGCCCAGUCUGUCCACAGAGCGAGGGGGGGACAAGCCUGGUGGCCCCGGCUUCAGUGCAGGCCAUCCUUUCCACCUGUUGUCUCCUCUUGGUCUCACAGGGGACCCAGUUCCUAUCCUCUGCCCUGAAGCAUGGCUACGACCCUCAUGGGCCACAAGCUUGACACCCUCAGGCGGCCAGACUGUACCCCAGAUCUGGGGCUGGUAGCAGCAUGAGUGUGGUCAACUGGCACGCAGUUGUUACCCGGACACCCUCCCAUCAGCACUUUUUUGGGGGGUGAGUGACAGAAACUCAACUUGGGCUUACAGGUGAAUUUACUGGUUCCUGUGAUCACAGAGUUCAAGGUUUAGCUGGACCCGGUGCCUCCAAGGACGUCACCAAGUCUGUCUGUCCGUCUGAGUUCAGCGUCCUCCAGGUCUUCGCUCUCCAGCAGGCCUUCUCCUCAAAGUGGCCAGGCUUUUCCCACAGGCCUUUGGUUUCCUCUGGAUGUUGGCGUGCCCCUGUACCAGCACUACCCUAGAUGUCGGCGUGCCCCUGUACCAGCACUGCCCUGGAUGUCGGCGUGCCCCUGUACCAGCACUGCCCUGGAUGUCGGCGUGCCCCUGUACCAGCACUGCCCUGGAUGUCGGCGUGCCCCUGUACCAGCACUGCCCUGGAUGUCGGCGUGCCCCUGUACCAGCACUGCCCUGGAUGUCGGCGUGCCCCUGUACCAGCACCGCCCCGACUUGUCACUCCAGGGACAGUGUGUCCACCCCUGGCCUAGCUCGUCAGAAACCUUUGUCUUCAUGUCAUCGUGUCCACUCAUGAUGUCCAAGGUCCUUCUGUCUUUAGAGAUCAUGGGGAGGAGGGGCAUUGUGCCAGGCUGAUGCGUGUCCCCCAAAUCCACUUCACUCAGAAGCUCAAAAUAUGACCUUAUUUGGAGACAGGGUCUUUGCAGAUGUAAUUAGUUAAGGUGAAGUCAUACUGCAUUAAGGUGGGCCCAGGGACUGGCAAUCUUAUAAAAAGAGGAGCAGACACAGAGACAGAUGCAGAGGGAGGGCGGCCAUGGAAAGACAAAAGCAGAGAGCAGAUGAUGCAGCCACAAGCCAUCGGAUGUCCAGGGCCACUGGGAGCUGAGGAGGUGAGGAAGGACGCCCCCAGGAGCCUACAGAGGGAGCACGACCGUGUCUGACAACUUCAGACUUCUGGCCUCCAGAUCAUCACGGCAGUACAUUUCUGCUGUUUUAAGCCACUCAUUUUGUGGGCCUCUGCUGCAGGAGCUCAAGUAAACUCAUUCAGGUAUUCAGGAUGGUUGCGCUGGGUCAGGAGACGGGCCACACACGGUCUCUGGGCUGAAGGAGUGGGCACCAGAAACGCGUCCUCAGUUGACCACAUCUUGGCACUCAGCUUUGGUGACUCCCCCUGGUGUUGCUGAUGUCCCACCCUGGCCUCUAGGGUAUUCAGAGUCCUGCACCCCAACCCUGCUCCCUUCCUGCCCUGACCUCAUCUCACCUCUGCAGUAGCAAGACUUUUCUGUGGCCUGAACCUAGAUCCUCUGCCACCUCUUCAUUCUUCUCCUUCAGUGUGGGCUCACCAAGAGCCAUGAGAGUCCCCAGGGCUGCAAGGGCACACAGAAAACCCACAGCUUCAUACACUGAGCUAUCACUCCUCAUCGACAGGACCUCAAGCCUCCAGUCCCAGCUCAGUCUAAUUCAAUCUCUGUAUCUUUGCUCAAACUCUUGCAAGGAAAUCUGACCGCCUUGGCCUGGCUGGGGCAUCCAGCGCUAUAUCUGGGGUGUGGCCUGAGACCCUUCCUUCCUUGGUAGGACUCAGCCAGGGUUAAGGAAAGGGCAGAUUCCUUGGAGAAGCAUGAGGAGGUAGUGCUUCUGAGGACACUCAUGUAUGUGAAUGCCCAGUGCAGACGUAUGGAAAUGAUGUCAUCUACAUUUAGCCCCAUCCCUCUAGGGUGGGUGUCAUCAGAUUCCCAUCCCAGUUUGCAGCUGGAGCCUCGAGGCUUGGAUUAAGUGCUCACCAAUGCUGGUAGAGAAGACUGUCGCUUCCCACCACUCUCAGCACUUGUCAACUUGCGAGGUCUCAUGGCAAGUAAGUCCUGGCCACCCUGGUCGCCUCAUAGAGGAAGUGGCUUGGGCCAGAUGCCCUCCUCUGAGGUGAAUCUUGAGCUGGAGCUUCGGUGUGCACCUGGAGCACGUGGCUGGGGUGUUCAGCAAACCCUGGGCAGGGAGGACAGGCCGGCCAGGCCUCAGGCCCCGGCAUCUGCCUCUGUAGCGCAUUCAUCCACUUUGGGGGUCUUUGUGUCCCUAAAAGAGUCUGAAUAUGAAUCCACACUCAAGCAAAAUCACGAAGGAGAUCAAAGCAGCUGCAAUGACACCGGAGGAGGCUCAUUCUCAUGGGAAACCUCAGAGUAAGAGACAUCGGGGAGGCGCUGGCUACAGGGUCAUGACGGAGGUGAGAGGUUGAGGGUAAUGGACAGAAAGCAGCAUGCACCCAAGUCCAGGUGGCAGGGAAAACAGAGAGCAAGGAGGAAGCAAGACUGUGAGCAAAACAGGCCAAGAGAGGCCAGUCAGUCACAGAUGCCAGGCUCCAGCCCAACCUGCCCAGACCCUGCGUCUCAGAGGGCACCUGCCCUCCUCCAUGCACCCAACCUGCCCUGUCCCAUCUGUGUAGGGCCCCGUCUGUCUCCCCUGCAAAGUCAGGUGGUCCUCACUGGAAGGUAGGAACUGGGCUUCACCAUCUGGACUGCGCAAGACCUGCCUGGCCAUGAGAGGAGAACAAAGAGUUUUCUAGAAGGCUGGCUUGCUCACACAAGUAAAGAACUGCCCAGCAGAAGUAAUGCUUAGGCAAAGCAGGUGGGUACUGGUGGUGGUCACAGAUGCUGGGGUGAGCCACAGGCCUGAGCCAUCCAUUGUGGGGGUCUGGAAGCCAGUGUGGCUCCCACACACAGAGGUAGACAGUUCCUGGAGAACACCAGAGUCUAGGCCCCAGGGGCUGGGCGAACCUCAGAGGGCGUCCCACGCCAGCUUAAAGGCAGCUUGGAAUGUGACAAUUGAUCAGUGGGUGCUGGGCAGCUCGCACCCCUGUGCAGACAGCCUUCUCCAUGGGCCAACAAGUGUGUCACAUGCAUGCAGAUGCGUGUGCAUAGGGCCAUGGGGGCCCAGGAGCCUUCCUACUGGAGUUCAAAGAUGUGGGCUGAAGGACGUUUGGAGAGCAUCCCCUGCCUGUGCUUCUGUUUUACCUCCGGGCCCCAAGCCUCCGCUGGGUGGUGGGUGGGCGCUGCUCCCAGCCUCCCAUGCAAGGGGCCCCAGAGGGAGGAAAAUGGCAGGCUGGGACAGAGGCACCACGUGAGAGCAGCUUUGUGAUAAAGCUGCCAGAUACACAAAGCAACAAAUAAAAAGGAAAAAGGGAACGGGACUCAGCACAAUUCACAAGUCACAAGGGGAUUGGCUCCAAGGAGCAGGUCCGUGGCUCAGCGGGUCCACUGGGGCUCUCUGGGCAGAGGGGCCUGGUGUUUCAGGUCCCUUCCAGAACCUUCACCCUGAGUGGCAAUGACAUUCCGUAGCCUUGAGGGGCAGGGACUCAGAGCUCGGUACCCUGGGGCUCUGGGGUGGAGGAUGAGGAUGAUCCAGAAUGGGGAGGCAGAAAUAGCCCCCCAUUCCUUUCUACUAGUUCUCAUGCCUCCAGCCCCUUGCUGCAGCCACACUGGCCUCAGUUACACUGGUUCGUUCCUGCUCCUCACCUGUACAGGGCCAGUUCCUGAACUGUGGGGGGGCCUUUGUAUAUACAGGCACCAGAACAUUCCUCCAGAGCUUCACUGGAGCCCUCCUCUUCAGCAUGACGGUUCCCGGCCACCUGAUCCAGAGCUGGCGGCUCCCAGGCAUAGCCCAUCCCUGCUGCGGCCCUGCACUACCCCAGUCCUCACCUGCACGCAGGGGACUGUUCACAUGCUGACCGUCUGUCCAUCUCCUGUAAGGACGUCGGCUCCUUCCAUGUCUGCUGGGCUGAGGAUCCCUCACAGCCUCCCUGACCUCAGAGCCAUGAAAGACUUGCAAGGCUUGAAGCAAACUCUGAACGGACCCUUCACAGAUAAAUUCUACCAGCAUGAUUAUACACAUCGAAACCCUCAGGGGUCAGCGCUAAGUGUCUGCAUAGACGUACCCAAACACCCGGGGCCUGGCAUUCCAAUAAACUCUCUGGAAAGAGCAGCAUCUCCUCUUCACACAGUGAAACUAACUGCACCUCUUCUCCUCCUAGAUGUGCAAGCGUCCACAAACAGGUAUUUUCCCCAUUUCCUGUUCGGUUCAAAGGUUAUUCCUAAAAAGCAGUCAUUGACCUGUUUUUGAUUUUUUGACUGAGAAAUGUAUUGACUAUGAACGCACAAAAUAUUUGCUGCACUGUAUGCUCCUCUCUUACUGACACAAGAUCACUGGAAAAGCCAUCUCAGAAAAAAAAGGAAGAUUUCAGGAGGAGCUGGAGUGAAACAAACCCAAGGUCGUUCAGCUCAUUACAUGUUAGUUAAAUGUUACAGUUUCAUAUAUUAAAAAAAAAAACCCAGAUAUUCCCUUAAAAAAUUAGUCUUUUCCUGUGUGUAUUUUAUC